CUCCUCUGGUGAUGACAGUGCCUAUGAAGGAGAGGGGAUAGCUACCAGCUUUAUGCCAGACGCUGUCUGGGACUGAGGACAUGCAUGACAUGGACCUAGACGCUAGCGCUAUGGACCAGGAGAGGGCUCACUGUGUGACUCUGUAUCAGGUGUCAACGGGGGUGGGGUGGACCGGUGGACCGUCUGAUGGAAGUGGGUCACUGUCUCACUGUCCAACGAUGACGGAGAUGAACUACAAAAGUGGUGACGAAGGACCCUAAUGCAGACACACAAGGACCAAUCUCAAGACCUCCGACGCAAUUCAAUAAAUGAAUAAAUGAUGAAACCAGGCACCAAAUGAAGUAUUGGGUGGGAGGG